rnacentral:rRNA from 1 species
AAGAUUAAGCCAUGCAUGUCUAAGUCCAAGCUGUGUUCACACGGCGAGACCGCGGACGGCUCAUUAAAUCAGUCGUGGUCCAAAUGGGCCAGUGCAAAUCCUACUUGGAUAACUGUGGUAAUUCCAGAGCUAAUACAUGCAACUGAUAUCCCGAAGGCGGUGUUGGGGCUUGCUUGCCUUGCGCUGCGCUGCUCUGACGGAUGCUUUUAUUAGACCAAGCCGCUGAGGACUUGAGGGUUCGCGCUCUCUUGUUUGACUCGUGUGAUGGUGACUCUGGAUAACCAAAUUCUGACAAGCGCACGUACUUCUCUUCUGAGCGAGACGGCGCUGCCACUUUCGAGUGUCUGCCUUAUCAGCUAUCAACCGUUCGUUAUGCGCGACCGAUGGCUUUGACGGGUAACGGGGAAUCAGGGUUCGAUUCCGGAGAGGCAGCCUGAGAGACGGCUACCACGUCCAAGGACGGCAGCAGGCACGCAAAUUACCCAAUCCCAGCAAAUGGGGGAGGUAGUGACGAAAUCUAACGAUGCGGGCGCCCUUUCUGGGGCCCCGCAAUCGGAAUGGGCACUUUCUAAACAACCUGUUGAGAACCUACU